rnacentral:rRNA from 1 species
CUGAGUAUAAUCAAACUCCGAAUGCCAUGAGAUAUUCCCGGCAGUCAGACCGUGGGUGAUAAGGUCCAUGGUCAAAAGGGAAACAGCCCAGACCGCCAGUUAAGGUCCCAAAAUGUAUGCUAAGUGGAAAAGGAUGUGGGGAUGCACAGACAACUAGGAGGUUGGCUCAGAAGCAGCCAUCCUUCAAAGAGUGCGUAACAGCUCACUAGUCGAGUGACCCUGCGCCGAAAAUGUACCGGGGCUAAGCAUACUACCGAAGCUGCGGAUUUGUAGUAAUACAAGUGGUAGGGGAGCGUUCCAUGCACGUGGAAGCCAUACCGAAAGGAGUGGUGGAGAGCAUGGAAGUGAGAAUGCCGGUGUGAGUAGCGAGAUGCAGGUGAGAAUCCUGCACACCGAUAGCCCAAGGAUUCCAGGGGAAGGUUCGUCCGCCCUGGGUAAGUCGGGACCUAAGGCGAGGCCGAAAGGCGUAGUCGAUGGAAAACAGGCAGAUAUUCCUGUACCCGCGAUGGAAAUGAAGGAAUGACGGAGAAGGCUAGCAUGAGCCACUUAUUGGAUUGUGGUCGAAGCGAAUAGCAGGUGCAUAGUAAAAUGCGUGCACGGAAUGUAAAACGUGACAGGUAAGCGAAACCCUAGGGGAGUAGCAAAGCAUGCGAGGCCAGCUUCCAGGAAAAGUUUCUAGUGCUAAUUCCAUAGCGGCCCGUACCAAAACCGACACAGGUGGGCAAGGAGAGUAUCCUGAGGUGAGCGAGAGAACUGUUGCCAAGGAACUCGGCAAAAUGACUCCGUAAGUUAGCGAGAAGGAGUGCUUAUGAAAGUAAGCCGCAGUGAAGAGGCCCAAGCGACUGUUUAACUAAAACACAGCUCUCUGCGAAGUCGCAAGACGAAGUAUAGGGGGUGACGCCUGCCCGGUGCUGGAAGGUUAAGAGGAUUUGUCAGUUUCGACGAAGCAAUGAAUUGAAGCCCCAGUGAACGGCGGCCGUAACUAUAACGGUCCUAAGGUAGCGAAAUUCCUUGUCAGGUAAGUUCUGACCCGCACGAAAGGCGUAACGAUUUGGGCGCUGUCUCGGCAGCAGACUCGGUGAAAUCUUAGUACCUGUGAAAAUGCAGGUUACCCGCAACUAGACGGAAAGACCCCAUGGAGCUUUACUGCAGCCUGAUAUUGGAUUUUGAUCAGAGAUGUACAGGAUAGGUGGGAGACGAAGAAGGAUGCACGCCAGUGUAUCUGGAGUCGACGUUGGGAUACCACUCUUGUCUGAUUGGAGUUCUAACCUGCGUCCAUGAAGCUGGACGGGGGACCGUGUCAGGCAGGCAGUUUGACUGGGGCGGUCGCCUCCCAAAGAGUAACGGAGGCGCCCAAAGGUACGCUCAGAUUGGACGGAAAUCAAUCGGCGAGUGCAAAUGCAGAAGCGUGCUUGACUGUGAGACAAACAGGUCGAACAGGGACGAAAGUCGGGAUUAGUGAUCCGGCGGUGCCGAAUGGAAGGGCCGUCGCUCAACGGAUAAAAGCUACCCUGGGGAUAACAGGCUGAUCUCCCCCAA